rnacentral:rRNA from 1 species
AUUGAACGCUGGCGGCAGGCCUAACACAUGCAAGUCGAACGGUAACAGGAAACAGCUUGCUGUUUCGCUGACGAGUGGCGGACGGGUGAGUAAUGUCUGGGAAACUGCCGGAUGGAGGGGGCUAACUACUGGAAACGGUAGCUAAUACCGCAUAACGUCGCAAGACCAAAGAGGGGGACCUUCGGGCCUCUUGCCAUCGGAUGUGCCCAGAUGGGAUUAGCUAGGAGGUGGGGUAACGGCUCACCUAGGCGACGAUCCCUAACUGGUCCGAGAGGAUGGCCCGCCACACUGGAACUGAGACACGGCCCAGACUCCUACGGGAGGCAGCAGUGGGGACUAUUGCACAAGGCGCGCAAGCCUGAUGCAGCCAUGCCGCGUGUAUGCAGAAGGCCUUCGGGUUGUAAAGUACUUUCAGCGGGGAUUAAGGGAGUAAAGUUAAUACCUUUGCUCAUUGACGUUACCCGCAGAAGAAGCACCGGCUAACUCCGUG